AUCUCAAUACGACAGUUGACUCAUGAUGCCAAUUGCGUGGUGACUUACUAUUCUGAUUUUUGUCUUAUAUAAGACCUCACCUCGAAGAAGUUGAUUGGAGUGGAUGACUUGCGAGACGGGAUCUAUCAUCUCAAAGGCAUGGCAAACGGGUCGGUCUUUUCUGCUUUCCAGAUAAAAGAGGUGGUUCUUUGGCAUGCAAGGCUUGGUCAUCCUUCUUAUGGC
rnacentral:lncRNA from 1 species